UACGUAGGGUGCAAGCGUUGUCCGGAAUUAUUGGGCGUAAAGAGCUCGUAGGCGGUUUGUCGCGUCUGCUGUGAAAACCCGAGGCUCAACCUCGGGCCUGCAGUGGGUACGGGCAGACUAGAGUGGCGGUAGGGGAGAUUGGAAUUCCUGGUGUAGCGGUGGAAUGCGCAGAUAUCAGGAGGAACACCGGUGGCGAAGGCGGGUCUCUGGGCCGGUACUGACGCUGAGGAGCGAAAGCGUGGGGAGCGAACAGG
rnacentral:rRNA from 1 species